rnacentral:rRNA from 1 species
AGUGAACGCUGGCGGUAGGCCUAACACAUGCAAGUCGAACGGCAGCACAGUAAGAGCUUGCUCUUACGGGUGGCGAGUGGCGGACGGGUGAGGAAUACAUCGGAAUCUACUUUUUCGUGGGGGAUAACGUAGGGAAACUUACGCUAAUACCGCAUACGACCUACGGGUGAAAGCAGGGGAUCUUCAGACCUUGCGCGAUUGCAUGAGCCGAUGUCGGAUUAGCUAGUUGGCGGGGUAAAGGCCCACCAAGGCGACGAUCCGUAGCUGGUCUGAGAGGAUGAUCAGCCACACUGGAACUGAGACACGGUCCAGACUCCUACGGGAGGCAGCAGUGGGGAAUAUUGGACAAUGGGCGCAAGCCUAAUCCAGCCAUACCGCGUGGGUGAAGAAGGCCUUCGGGUUGUAAAGCCCUUUUGUUGGGAAAGAAAAGCAGCAGGUUAAUACCCCGCUGUUCUGACGGUACCCAAAGAAUAAGCACCGGCUAACUUCGUG